GCUGCUGUAGCUCAGGGGUAGAGCACUUCCUUGGUAAGGAAGAGGCCAUGAGUUCAAAUCUCAUCAGCAGCU
rnacentral:tRNA from 1 species